rnacentral:rRNA from 1 species
AUGAUGUCCGAGCUCGGCUGUGUGCCUAAUGCCUUCUCAUACUCCAUUGUUCUGAAGGGCUUAUGCGACAAUAGCAUGUGUCAGCGGGCGCUCGAGCUGCUCCAGAUGCUGGUGGAAAAAGAAGGUGCCUGCUCUCUCAAUGUAGUGGCAUAUAGCACAGUCAUCCAUGGUUUCUUUAAGGAAGGCGAAACCAGCAAGGCGUGCAAUCUAUUCGAUGAAAUGAUACAGCAAGGGAUUGUGCCUGAUGUGGUGACAUAUAGCUCAAUUAUUGAUGCGUUGUGCAAGGCCAGGGCAAUGGACAAAUCAGAGCUAGUCCUUCGUCAGAUGGUUGCUAAUGGUGCUCAACCCAAUGAAGUGACAUAUAAUUGCAUGAUCCAUGGAUAUUCCACAUCUGGGCGGUGGAAAGAGGCUGUUAAAUUGUUUAGAGAAAUGAAAAGCCGGGGCCUUAUACCAGAUAUUUUUACUUGCAACUCCUUAAUGACUUACCAUUGCAAGCAUGGAAGAAGCAAAGAAGCUGCAGAAUUUUUUUAUUCGAUGACAGCAAAGGGCCACAAACCGGAUAUCGUCUCAUACCGUAUUUUGCUUCAUGGGUAUGCUACUGAAGGAUGCUUUCCUGAUAUGAUUGAUGUCUUUAAUUCAAUGGAAAACAAUGGUAUUGCAGCCGACUGCCAUGUUUUCAACAUAUUAAUUGAUGCAUAUUCUAAACGUGGAAUGAUGGAUGAAACUAUGCUGAUAACAAGUAAAAUGCAGGAACGCAGAGUGAAUCCUGAUAUAGUCACCUAUUCCAGCAUAAUAGCUGGACUUUCCAGAUUGGGUAGGCUGACUGAGGCCAUGGAAAAAUUCAAUCAGAUGAUUGCCUUGGGAGUACAACCGAACAAAGUUGUUUAUCACGCGUUGAUUCAGGGUUUUUGCAUAGAUGGUGAUUUGGCUAAAGCUAAGCAGUUGGUUUCUGAAAUGAUGAACAGAGGUAUUCCUCGUCCUAACAUUUCGUUCUUUAGUUCAGUAAUAAAGAGUCUCUGCCAAGAAGGAAGGGUUAUGGAUGCACAUGAUAUCUUUGACUUGGUUAUAGACAUGGGUGAGAGGCCUGAUGACAUUUUACUUAAUUCACUGAUUGACGGAUACUGCUUAGUCGGGAAGAUGGAUAAAGCAUUAAAAGUACUUGAUGUCAUGGAAUCAGUUGGUGUUGAGCCUGAUGUUAUUACAUACAAUACACUUGUUAAUGGCUAUUGUAGAAAUGGAAGGAUCAAUGAUGGUUUGACUCUGUUCAGAGAUAUGGCGCGUAAGAGAAUUAAACCUGACACUGUGUUCAUAUUGCGUCAUAAUGGAUGGGUUGUUUCGUUCUGGGAGAUCUGUUUCUGUUAUGGCGCUGCUAGAAGGAGGGCGCGAGAGGGCCGGCCGGGGGCCUUUUUGCCCACGGCCGGGCAAGAGGGAAGGGAUUUCCUUCUUAAUUCUUGCUUGAUUAGAUUGAUACAUCUCCUCUCUUUAUAUAGAGAGGUUUACUUGACUCCCAAGCAAGGCUUACUUGACCCCUAA